rnacentral:rRNA from 1 species
UACAGGGGGGGCAAGCGUUGUUCGGAAUUACUGGGCGUAAAGGGCUCGUAGGUGGCCGACUAAGUCAGACGUGAAAUCCCUCAGCUUAACUGGGGACUGCGUCUGAUACUGGAUGGCUUGAGUUUGGGAGAGGGAUGCGGAAUUCCAGGUGUAGCGGUGAAAUGCGUAGAUAUCUGGAGGAACACCGGUGGCGAAGGCGGCAUCCUGGACCAACACUGACGCUGAGGAGCGAAAGCCAGGGGAGCAAACGGG